ACGUAGGGUGCAAGCGUUAAUCGGAAUUACUGGGCGUAAAGCGUGCGCAGGCGGUUUUGUAAGUCUGUCGUGAAAGCCCCGGGCUCAACCUGGGAAUUGCGAUGGAGACUGCAAGGCUUGAAUCUGGCAGAGGGGGGUAGAAUUCCACGUGUAGCAGUGAAAUGCGUAGAGAUGUGGAGGAACACCGAUGGCGAAGGCAGCCCCCUGGGUCAAGAUUGACGCUCAUGCACGAAAGCGUGGGGAGCAAACAG
rnacentral:rRNA from 1 species